rnacentral:rRNA from 1 species
UACGUAGGGUGCAAGCGUUAAUCGGAAUUACUGGGCGUAAAGCGUGCGCAGGCGGUUGUGUAAGACAGAUGUGAAAUCCCCGGGCUCAACCUGGGAACUGCAUUUGUGACUGCACAGCUGGAGUGCGGCAGAGGGGGAUGGAAUUCCGCGUGUAGCAGUGAAAUGCGUAGAGAUCAGGAGGAACACCGGUGGCGAAGGCGGCCCACUGGGCAGUCACUGACGCUGAGGCGCGAAAGCUCGGGGAGCGAACGGG